rnacentral:lncRNA from 10 species
GUUAUCUUGGGUGUUUUUAUAGUUUGGAAUUGGUCCAUAUCAUCUAAAUUGUCAAAUUUAUGUGCAUAGAGUUGUUUGUUGUAUUCCUUUAUUAUCCUGUAAUGUCUGCUGGGUCUGUAAUAGUAUUCCUUCUUUCAUUACCAAUAUUGAUCAUUUAUGUCUUUCUUGCACUUUCCCCCUUCUUAACUUCCUGUCUCCCCUCCUCUCCUCUCCUCUCUCCUUCCCUCUUCUCUUCUUCUCCCCACCUUUUGUCAGCCUUGCUUGAGGUUGAUCAAUGUUAUUGAUCUUUUCAAAGAAUAAACUUUUGCUUUCAUUUUUCUCUAUUGUUUUUCUGU